rnacentral:tRNA from 1 species
UCAAUAGCCUAGUGGACAUGGCAUCUGCCCGGUAAGCGGAACACUGUGGGUUCGAUUCCCAUCCCUGGACAC